GCUCAACCGGGGAGGGUCAUUGGAAACUGGGGAACUUGAGUGCAGAAGAGGAGAGUGGGAUUCCACGUGUAGCGGUGAAAUGCGUAGAGAUGUGGAGGAACACCAGUGGCGAAGGCGACUCUCUGGUCUGUAACUGACGCUGAGGCGCGAAAGCGUGGGGAGCGAACAGGAUUAGAUACCCUGGUAGUCCACGCCGUAAACGAUGAGUGCUAAGUGUUAGAGGGUUUCCGCCCUUUAGUGCUGCAGCAAACGCAUUAAGCACUCCGCCUGGGGAGUACGGUCGCAAGACUGAAACUCAAAGGAAUUGACGGGGGCCCGCACAAGCGGUGGAGCAUGUGGUUUAAUUCGAAGCAACGCGAAGAACCUUACCAGGUCUUGACAUCCUCUGACAACCCUAGAGAUAGGGCUUCCCCUUCGGGGGCAGAGUGACAGGUGGUGCAUGGUUGUCGUCAGCUCGUGUCGUGAGAUGUUGGGUUAAGUCCCGCAACGAGCGCAACCCUUGAUCUUAGUUGCCAGCAUUCAGUUGGGCACUCUAAGGUGACUGCCGGUGACAAACCGGAGGAAGGUGGGGAUGACGUCGAAUCAUCAUGCCCCUUAUGACCUGGGCUACACACGUGCUACAAUGGGCAGAACAAAG
rnacentral:rRNA from 1 species